rnacentral:misc_RNA from 1 species
GAUGAAGAACGUAGCGAAAUGCGAUAAGUAGUGUGAAUUGCAGAAUUCAGUGAAUCAUCGAGUCUUUGAACGCACAUUGCGCCCCCUGGCAUUCCGGGGGGCAUGCCUGUCCGAGCGUCAUUGCUGCCCUUCAAGCCCGGCUUGUGUGUUGGGUCGUCGUCCCCCCCGGGGGACGGGCCCGAAAGGCAGCGGCGGCACCGCGUCCGGUCCUCGAGCGUAUGGGGCUUUGUCACCCGCUCGAUUAGGGCCGGCCGGGCGCCAGCCGGCGUCUCCAACCUUCUAUUUUACCAGGUUGACCUCGGAUCAGGUAGGGAUACCCGCUGAACUUAAGCAUAUCAAUAAGCGGAGA